GUUGGACACAGCAGUCAGAGCACAGGUGCGCCGAAAAUCCACCCACCGACUUCUACAAAUAACAACAUGAGUUCAGACGGCCUGCAGACUUAACAGCAUCCAAACAAGGUGUCUGCUGACAAGUCAGGGAUUGGAGCGGCGCGCUGAGGGACGCCGUGUUGGGCAAGGCUGGCUGGAGAAACAACAUGGCUGUAUC